UACGAGUGCCCCAAGCGUUAUCCGGAAUCACUGGGCGUAAAGCGUGUGUAGGUGGAUGUGUUAGUCUCUCGUUAAAUUCUUCGGCUUAACCGGGGGCAUGCGAGGGAAACGGCACAACUAGAGGUAUGCAGGGGAGAACGGAAUUCCUGGUGUAGCGGUGAAAUGCGCAGAUAUCAGGAGGAACACCGGUGGCGAAGGCGGUUCUCUGGGCAUUACCUGACGCUGAGGAGCGAAAGUGUGGGGAGCGAACAGG
rnacentral:rRNA from 1 species